rnacentral:rRNA from 1 species
AUGGUGUGGAAAGCACCCAUCCCGUUGAAGAUUAAGAUAUUCCUUUGGCAAUUGUUUCAAAAUGCCAUCCUUACCCGUGAUAACAUGCCUGCCAGGAAUUGGCCUGAAAAUCCCAUUUGUUCCUUCUGUACUAAUGUUGAAACGGCAAACCACUUGUUUUUUUCCUGCUCGCUCGCUCGUUCAGUUUGGGGGACGCUGGGCAUGACGGCCGGGGCAUCUUGCUGCCCUCGGUCCCUUUGGCAAAGUUUUUCUUUGCUUUAUAAAUUCUUUCCGGGUGGGGAGCAUAUCUAUAUGCUAAUCAUUGCUGCGAUAUGUUGGGGGAUUUGGAUUCUCCACGAUAAAGUUACUUUUGAUAAACAUGUCGUUCGAUCUCCUCUGGAGGCUGUUUUCACGGCAUGUUCUUUUAUGAUGUAUUCGGCAGGUUUACUGAAGGAAGAGGAUAGGGUGAAGCUCCAGGCGGGGGUGAAGAGAUUGGCUCAUGCCGCUACGGCGCUGGCGGACAGAUCCUUCCCUCGAGGCAGACUGCUCUUGGGAGACAGAGAUGGUGUGCAGAUUGGUUAG